rnacentral:lncRNA from 1 species
CAAACUUCUUUAAAAAAUUUGGCAUAUGAUGGAUUUUUCUUGAUCGCAUCCAGCAAUGGAAUGUUGAUUUGAACUUUGGAUAAUGUCUGCAUAAAGUCCUUGAGUUGCUGAUCCCUUGCUUUAGGAAUUACACGGUUAGGAUAGGGCAGUGGAGGGUCAUAAACACGCUGUAAAACCUGUUUUGGGAUAGUUUCGGGAUUUGCCAGAUUAUGUUUUUCUGCAGUUUUGGCAGGUUAUGCUGCUGCAAAAUUGUCUACAUUAUUCUCC